GACAGAGGAUGCAAGCGUUAUCCGGAAUGAUUGGGCGUAAAGCGUCUGUAGGUGGCUUUUUAAGUCUGCCGUCAAAUCCCAGGGCUUAACCCUGGACAGGCGGUGGAAACUACCAAGCUGGAGUACGGUAGGGGCAGGGGGAAUUUCCGGUGGAGCGGUGAAAUGCGUAGAGAUCGGAAAGAACACCAACGGCGAAAGCGCUCUGCUGGGCCGACACUGACACUGAGAGCCGAAAGCUAGGGGAGCGAAUGGG
rnacentral:rRNA from 1 species